rnacentral:rRNA from 1 species
UACAGAGGUCUCAAGCGUUGUUCGGAUGCAUUGGGCGUAAAGGGUGCGUAGGCGGCGCGGUAAGUCGGGUGUGAAAUCUCGGAGCUUAACUCCGAAACUGCAUUCGAUACUGCCGUGCUUGAGGACUGGAGAGGAGACUGGAAUUUACGGUGUAGCGGUGAAAUGCGUAGAUAUCGUAAGGAAGACCAGUGGCGAGGGCGGGUCUCUGGACAGUUCCUGACGCUGAGGCACGAAGGUCAGGGGAGCAAACGGG